UGCCAGAAGCAUAGAUAGCUCAGUUGGUACACUGUGAGACUCUUAAUCUCAGGGUCGUAGGUUCAAGUCCAACAAUGGGUAA